UACCAAGAGGGGAUUGAUCUGCUCCUGCAGGUUCGGAAAGGAUCCAGAGAGAGACCAUUGUGAAGUGGGAGCAGAGACCAGUAGAGCCCUAAACAGGUGUGGCAGCAGACGCAACGACCUCAUCUCCAGUGUUCCUAAACAUUGUCCUUUGAUAAGGCAUCCAAGAUCAUACUAAGAGAUGUUACCUCAGAGAAAAAAUUACUCACUACAUGGAUAGAGCAGAAGACAUAAAGAAAUACUUGGAUCAAGUAAAAGAAGAUGGAAAAUAUCACAAACAAAUUAAGAUAGAAGAGAAUGCAACAGGUUUUGGUUAUGAGUCACUUUUUAAAGAAUACCUUAAUGGGAC